rnacentral:rRNA from 1 species
AGAGUUUGAUCAUGGCUCAGAUUGAACGCUGGCGGCAUGCCUUACACAUGCAAGUCGAACGGUAACGGGCCUUCGGGUGCCGACGAGUGGCGAACGGGUGAGUAAUGCAUCGGAACGUACCUUUCAGUGGGGGAUAACGUAGCGAAAGUUACGCUAAUACCGCAUAUUCUGUGAGCAGGAAAGCAGGGGAUCACAAGACCUUGCGCUGAUUGAGCGGCCGAUGUCAGAUUAGCUAGUUGGUGAGGUAAAGGCUCACCAAGGCGACGAUCUGUAGCGGGUCUGAGAGGAUGAUCCGCCACACUGGAACUGAGACACGGUCCAGACUCCUACGGGAGGCAGCAGUGGGGAAUUUUGGACAAUGGGGGCAACCCUGAUCCAGCCAUGCCGCGUGAGUGAAGAAGGCCUUCGGGUUGUAAAGCUCUUUCGGCCGGGAAGAAAUCGCAUGGGUUAAUACCCUGUGCGGAUGACGGUACCGGCAUAAGAAGCACCGGCUAACUACGUG